GACGAACGCUGGCGGCGUGCCUAAUACAUGCAAGUAGGACGCAGUUGCGAACGGGGGGGUAAUGCGUAGGUACCUGCCUGUUAUAGGGGGAUAACUAUUUGAAACGAAAGCUAAUACCGCAUACUAGUAGAUGUACCUGCGUUGUAUUAGCUAGUAGGUAGGGUAAAGGCCUACCUAGGCAACGAUACAUAGCCUACCUGAGAGGGUGAUCGGCCACACUGGGACUGAGACACGGCACAGACUCCUACGGGAGGCAGCAGUAGGGAAUCUUCGGCAAUGGGGGGAAGUCUGACCAAGCAACGCCGCGUGAGUGAAGAAGGUUUUCGGUUCGUAAAGCUCUGUUGUUAAGGAAGCGGUACUUAACCAGAAAGGGACGGCUAACUACGUGCCAGCAGCCGCGGUAAUAC
rnacentral:rRNA from 1 species